rnacentral:rRNA from 1 species
UACGUAGGGAGCAAGCGUUGUCCGGAAUCAUUGGGCGUAAAGCGCGCGUAGGCGGCCCCGUAAGUCCGCUGUGAAAGUCAAAGGCUCAACCUUUGAAAGCCGGUGGAUACUGUGGGGCUAGAGUCCGGAAGAGGCGAGUGGAAUUCCUGGUGUAGCGGUGAAAUGCGCAGAUAUCAGGAGGAACACCGGUGGCGAAGGCGGGUCUCUAGGCCGAUACUGACGCUGAGGAGCGAAAGCGUGGGGAGCGAACAGG